rnacentral:snRNA from 1 species
AAGUGUUACAGCUCUUUUAGAAUUUGUCCAGCAAGACUUUUUUUUUGGUUUUCAUCGAGAGACUCUC